rnacentral:rRNA from 2 species
AGGAUUGCCCUAGUAACGGCGAGUGAAGCGGCAACAGCUCAAAUUUGAAAUCUGGCUCUUUUAGAGUCCGAGUUGUAAUUUGCAGAGGGCGCUUUGGCUUUGGCAGCGGUCCAAGUUCCUUGGAACAGGACGUCACAGAGGGUGAGAAUCCCGUACGUGGUCGCUGGCUAUUGCCGUGUAAAGCCCCUUCGACGAGUCGAGUUGUUUGGGAAUGCAGCUCUAAAUGGGAGGUACAUUUCUUCUAAAGCUAAAUAUUGGCCAGAGACCGAUAGCGCACAAGUAGAGUGAUCGAAAGAUGAAAAGCACUUUGGAAAGAGAGUCAAACAGCACGUGAAAUUGUUGAAAGGGAAGCGCUUGCAGCCAGACUUGCUUACAGUUGCUCAUCCGGGCUUUUGCCCGGUGCACUCUUCUGUAGGCAGGCCAGCAUCAGUUUGGGCGGUAGGAUAAAGGUCUCUGUCACGUACCUCUCUUCGGGGAGGCCUUAUAGGGGAGACGACAUACUACCAGCCUGGACUGAGGUCCGCGCAUCUGCUAGGAUGCUGGCGUAAUGGCUGUAAGCGGCCCGUCUUGAAACACGGACCAAGGAGUCUAACAUCUAUGCGAGUGUUUGGGUGUCAAGCCCGAGCGCGUAAUGAAAGUGAACGGAGGUAGGAACCCGCAAGGGUGCACUAUCGACCGAUCCUGAUGUCUUCGGAAGGAUUUGAGUAAGAGCAUGGCUGUUGGGACCCGAAAGAUGGUGAACUAUGCUUGAAUAGGGUGAAGCCAGAGGAAACUCUGGUGGAGGCUCGCAGCGGUUCUGACGUGCAAAUCGAUCGUCAAAUUUGGGCAUAGGGCGAAAGACUAAUCGACUAUCUAGUA